UGGAAACGAGGGCCAUGCAAAACUUACCCGAGAAACGUUGAAAGUAACAAUUUGUGGUCAUUAAAUUAUGGGAACUAUAACGAAAAGCUCCCGGUACUGUUCAAUUUAACGAAAAACCACAUUUUUACACUAAAAAGUCAAUUCUGGUACUAUUCACUUUACUCUUUAUUUUGUCCUUAUCAUUAAAACUCAAAGUUUUCAAACCCUUUUCAUUAGUUUUCCUUUAAAUUAAUGGGUAAGGAAGACAUGUUUUAUGGUUAUAUUAAUCAGGGUGGGGGUGUAUAUUAAUGGGGUUUGAAUCAUUAAUUGUCUGUGCUGAUAUUGUAAAUGGCAUGGCCAAUCAAAGAGGUUUUUGCCACUACUUACCAUAAACUGUAUACUAAUAUAACGAUUGGUGAUGCUGAGAAUGGCUCACAUAUUCUUCUAUUAGUAAUUUAGGAAACCACAAUAACGUUGAAUCUAGUAUAUUUUUUUUUCUUAUCUCGUAGACUUACUCCUAAUCCUAUUUGGUUUGUAAGCUUACCACUAGGAACACUUAAUACACAGUUAUGGAUGUGUCCACUCUUGAAUCUAAAAAUUCAUUGAAUGCAAUGUGUGCGAGAAAUGUCGAAUUCAGUGAAUAAUUAACUGGAAAGGGAUACUUUCUGGAUUCCUUCCACCUAAUCCACCAAUGCCACAAAUUCAGGCACUUGAAAUUUGAUCUAACGGCUAAAGUUAUUAUAACUUUUAAUGGAGUCUCAUGUUUUUAGCCGUUUAAUCAAAUUUCAAGGACCUAUAUUUGUGGCUUUGGUUGAUUAGGUGGAAGGGAUCUGAAGAUGAUCCCUUUCCUAAUUAACUUACUUGAAAUUUACUAUAAAAUUAGCAACAAUCAACGAAUAUCAACUAUUUACAUAAAUACGAAUGAUUGACCAUCCAUAAAAUUACAUGAACUGUUAGUCUUUGACAUUUGUUGUCUUUUGCUAUAUAGACUAUUGAUAAUCUAAAUAAUCGGGAUGAAUAGUGAUUGACCAGAGAACGAUGUGCCGACCAUAAACCCUAACAUGCCCGUAAACUUCAUGAGCUCACCUGCCCGUGAUUAUGUUUCCAAAUUAAGCUAAAAAAUCAAAGAAUAAAUUGACACCUCACGCGCUUGCAUGUCCACGUAUCACCGUGACUGUGUAAACGGCUCUUUUAAGAACCAAAAAAUUGGGUCCCACACAGGAAACGGCCCCCCCUUAUGGGUCCUACCUAAUCCCUCUACCAUUGUUCAAAAUAGGGGUGGGCAAACGGGUAUAGGAACCGCGGGUCGGGGUGGGUAAUGCAGGUUCGGGGCGGGUAAUAGGCGGUUCCAAAUUUUUUGAAUACUAAACGGGGCGGGGCGGGGCGGGGACGAUGGUAUGUAAGGGGCGGGCCGGGUCCUAAUAUUUAGAACAACGGGGCCCCGAAGGCCCGUUUCUAAUUUAAGUCAUCAACACCUUUUCCACGUCCUCCCACUUGUCCGAUCUUAUCCACUGCCUUUACCGAACCCCAUCCCCUACUAUCAUAUUCCACAUGUACCCUUCCAAAUACGCAUGUCAAAUUGCACCUUUCUUUCCAUCAUACCCUUACCCAUUUUCCGUAAAGAGCAAAGUACCCAUCUGUACAAACACUGAAAACAGAGCUCCACAUGCAGUGAAGCUGUAUGCCGCAGCAGCAGAUAUCCCUCCGUCUCUCUCAAAUGUUUAAAGUCUCGCCUCGAGACCCAACCCAGCCUCAGGAUUAAAUGGUACUGUCCAGAAG
rnacentral:lncRNA from 1 species